rnacentral:rRNA from 1 species
GACGAACGCUGGCGGCGUGCUUAAUACAUGCAAGUCGAACGGAAGGGCGCUGCGUUUGCGUCGUGCUCGAUUGGCGAACGCGUGAGUAACACGCGAGUAUCCCGCCCUUGUCUUUGGGAUAACAUCACGAAACUGGGGCGCUUACCGCGUAGAAUCUCCUGCUGCAUGGUGUGGAUUGGAAAGUUUCGGCGGUGGGGUAUGGAUUGGAGGCUUAUCAGCUUGAUGGUGAGGUAGUGGCGUACCAAGGCUAUGAAGGAUAGCCUGCCUGGGAGGGUGACCGGGGACAUUGGGACUGAGAGAGGGAGCAGACUGCAACGGGAGGCAGCAGUGGGGAAUCUUGCAGAAUGGGCGGGAGCGUGAUGCAGCAGCGCCGGGUGCGGGAUGACGGGUUUCGGGGUGUAAACAGAUGUGGCAGGUGAUGAGGAGUGAGUGACGGUAAUGGGUAAAGAAGCACCGGCUAACUACGUG